UUGAGGAGGCGGUGUCCAUGGCAGUGUAGGUGGAAGCAGCGGUGCGGGAGGAGGAUGAGGUAGCCAACACUGUUUUUUAUGGGUUUUUUUUUAAUUGUGGUAGCCCACAAAAUAUUGGGACAUAUAAAAAAAGACAACUCUGUUGCGCAGAGUAGCUGUUGACAUUAUAGUUGCGCAGGCACUUUGUUGACUCGGGCCAAUCACACAUCCUCGUGGUGGUGACUUUGCAUGCGGAUGUCAUCCAUAUCAACUUUCGAUGCCAGUUUCUGCGCCUACCAUGGUGACCACGGGUAACGGGGAAUCAGGGUUCCAUUCCAUACAGGGACCCUGAGAAACGGCUACCACAUGCAAGGAACGCAACAGGCAUGCAAAUGACCCACUCCCGACACGGGAAGGUAGUAACGACAAAUAACAAUACAGGACUCUUUAGAGGCAGUUUAAUUGUAAUGAAUCCACUUGAAAUACUUUAACUCUGAUCAAUUGGAGGGAAGUCUGGUGCAGGGCCACUGACCUGUGUGUGCUGCAGCUGAAACUCCAUUA